UACGUAGGGCGCAAGCGUUAUCCGGAAUUAUUGGGCGUAAAGAGCUCGUAGGCGGCUCAGUAAGUCGGGUGUGAAACCCUCAGGCUCAACCUGGGGACGCCACUCGAUACUGCUGUGGCUAGAGUCCAGUAGAGGAGUGUGGAAUUCCUGGUGGAGCGGUGAAAUGCGCAGAGAUCAGGAGGAACACCCGUAGCGAAGGCGGCACUCUGGGCCGAUACUGACACUGAGGAGCGAAAGCGUGGGGAGCGAACAGG
rnacentral:rRNA from 1 species